GAAACACAUAACCAUUAGGUAGCAUUGAAGAUGAAGUUCUUCCAAUUAUCUUUGUUUGCUAUCGUCAUUCUUCUUCUUACAUUUUUAUCAGAUGAACGAAUUAUGUCGUUAGACGAUACGAAGAGAUGCAAUGGCUACACAGGAGUGAAUCAAUGCAGAUUUGGACCUGAUCAUGGAUGUGUUCAACUUUGCAUCAUACAAUAUAAAGUUGCUAUUAUUGAUGCAUUUUGUGAAGAAUCAGGAGAUGGAACUACUCAAUGUCGUUGUACAUUUGAUUGCUAGUCUUCUUCUUAUAUAGAGAUAUCAUGUUUUAAAAGUAUCAUUUCAGUGAAAAAUAAUAAACUUUUUGUUACUAAUUAAAUUAUUGUUUAUUUUAGUCUUAGUUAAGUUCGUAA